rnacentral:misc_RNA from 1 species
AGCUAUAUAAUUACAUCGAUAUGGGGAGGAACCAUGACUAUCAUGAAUAUACUAUAUCUAAAUGUACCAUAUUUUACAAAGGUGAGAUGCAUGUACCGUGCACUGCAAAGUCGGUUAGGAAGUAUAUGUCAAUUGUCAUUAGAGAUGGCCUCGGGAAGUUUAAAGGUAGGAGGUUUGUCAGCACCUCUCCUUGAGUACUCUCUCCAUUUGCGAGCAGCUGCUGCAGCUCGUUUUGAUCUAUCUUCCACUUCCUCCUCUGUCUUUGUGUAGUCUUUACGAUCGCCCCAUAGGUUAUCCCAGUAUGAUUCAGUUUUCUCAGAAUUUUUCUUCUUCAUCAUUCUGACUUUAGCUUGUUCCAGAACUUUAGAUUGUCGUUUUUCCCACCGCGUGCUCGCCAUUCUGAAUACAUCCAUGGCUCCACUGCCCAUUCCUGAUAGCAUCAAGGCAACG